GACGAAGGGGGCAAGCGUUGUUCGGAAUUACUGGGCGUAAAGGGCGCGUAGGCGGUUCUUUUAAGUCAGGCGUGAAAGCCCUGGGCUCAACCUGGGAGUGGCGCUUGAUACUGGAGGACUAGAGAGUGGGAGAGGUUGGUGGAAUUCCCAGUGUAGAGGUGAAAUUCGUAGAUAUUGGGGAAGAACACCGGUGGGCGAAGGCGGCCAACUGGACCAUUUCUGACGCUGAGGUGCGAAAGCGUGGGGAGCAAACAGG
rnacentral:rRNA from 1 species